UUAAAGUGGCACGCGAGCUGGGUUCAGAACGUCGCGAGACAGUUCGGUCCCUAUCUGUUGUGGGCGUAGGAAUUUUGAGUGGGGCUGACCUUAGUACGAGAGGACCGGGUUGGACUAGCCUCUAGUGAAUCUGUUGUUCCGCCAGGGGCAUUGCAGAGUAGCUACGCUGGGAAUAGAUAAGUGCUGAAAGCAUCUAAGUACGAAACUAGCCACGAGAUGAGAAUUCCAU
rnacentral:rRNA from 1 species